GUGGGGAAUAUUGGGCAAUGGGCGAAAGCCUGACCCAGCAACGCCGCGUGAAGGAAGAAGGUUUUCGGAUCGUAAACUUCUAUCCUUGGUGAAGAUAAUGACGGUAGCCAAGAAGGAAGCCCCGGCUAACUACGUGCCAGCAGCCGCGGUAAUACGUAGGGGGCAAGCGUUGUCCGGAAUGAUUGGGCGUAAAGGGCGCGUAGGCGGCCUGGUAAGUCUGGAGUGAAAGUCCUGCUUUUAAGGUGGGAAUUGCUUUGGAUACUGUCGGGCUUGAGUGCAGGAGAGGUAAGUGGAAUUCCCGGUGUAGCGGUGAAAUGCGUAGAGAUCGGGAGGAACACCAGUGGCGAAGGCGACUUACUGGACUGUAACUGACGCUGAGGCGCGAAAGUGUGGGGAGCAAACAGGAUUAGAAACCCCGGUAGUCC
rnacentral:rRNA from 1 species